AGAUUUUAAUCAAGAGCCUUCUGAGUGUCAAGCACAGUCGAGGAACCAGGCGAACCAUGUGAACACCUGUUCCCGACCGUAUGGCUCUACAAUUCCCACUGGUGAAAGCUCAUCAGAAAGCAGGACUUAAACUUCUACAAAGAAGUGAUUUCCAGAUGCAAAAAUCAAUCAACUAGGAGGCUGUUGCAGGACUCAUCUAGGACUGAGGAUGGGGAUGAAGGAACAGGAAAAGAUGGGAGAGAUGUCACAGAGCCAGAACUGAGAGACUUGGCAAUUAAUGGUCUCCAAUUCCAUGCUUCUCUUCCUGAACCACAGCAGUCUAUCCACCUGCCUUGUACCUCUGGUCCAAGAAAGCCACCUAAGGCAAAUCUGAGCUGGGACAGAGGCUAGAAUUCUUGCACCACCUCUCUGUGAAGGGAGAGCUACUCAACAAGCUGCAUUUAGGCAGCAUCCUCUCUUGGCCUGGACAGAGAAUGAUAUGCAUUAUUGAAUUGUAGCGGUGACCCGACUUCACAAAAAAUAAACACUACAGACUGCCAGGAACACAGGGCUGGGCACAGUUAGUGCGCCAUAGAAGCCUGAGUAUUCAGAAGCAUUAUAAAAAGGUAAGAAUGACUCAUAUGCACUUCUAUGAUUUUUAAGCAUUUUAAUAGAGCUUGCUUGGCAAUUAAAAUAUACACGAGAGCAAGAUUAAAUAGUAGCCAUUUCUGCACUGGUUUUCCUGUCAAUGUUAACAAAAAGCCUACCAAAGAGCCAUAAGGAAAUGGCCAACCUCCUCUCAGAAAGACAGAAGAAUAAUAAGGGAAUGAUCCAAGUGAAGAAAAAAAGUGAGCAAAGAAAUGCGUGAAAACAAACGGGAUAGCUUUCUGAAAUCACUGAAGUAAUUUUGAGUUGAAAAAUUCAGAAUGAUUCAAGCCUGUGCUUUGCCAUCAUUCAAAUGGCUGUAUCAUUUCCUUAACAAGGCUGCAUAGCUCAUGGACUAAUAAGGAUCUAACUUUGCAUUCAGGCAUAAAGACAUUUAUUCCUGUUUUUCCCACCUUAUUAAUAUGAAACAAGACAAUAAGAUGAAGACAGUAACUGUAAUACUUGUUGCAAGCUAAAUACUAAUGCAAGAAUAAUUGUUGUUACUACUUUUAUAUGGAGGUGAUUUGAGAUUUUUCUCUUAACUUGCAGAUGUGUAUAUCUUCAUGUUGCUUCCAUCUUUCCUCAAGCUUUACUUUCGUAGUGCUCAAAAAUGGUAAGAGACACAAUCUGCACGUAGUCAUUAGAAUGUCUCAGAUCGCACGGCUUAGAUUGCUCCACACCAAGAAGAACAAUGUGGAGGGGAAAGAGAUCUUCCUUAAGUGUAAAAAGAUACCAGAUUGAUACUUAAGAUCUCGGUUGUAUCAGGCAAGACGCCGAAACUUCUCUGAGUCACAGAUCCUCUCUUCUCUGUAAUCACGUCACUGUGACAUUCAGGUCACGUCAUGGAAGGAAAAACAUUCUUACAAUUAUAAAGGAUUAUUACGCAGACUCCAGUUCAAAUUGAGGCAAAUAUGAAUAGGCUGGGAACAUGUGCCAGUAUAAUCCAAUCCAUUUAAGAAUCCGUUAGUCAGAGAAACUUUAUCCAAAUAGUUAAAUAGCUCCAAAGAGGUGCGUUUAUCCCCAUAAAGCAAACCUAGAUUUUUCUUCUUCAGUGUUUUGAUAGAAAAUUAAGGUAAAAAUCUCAUACUACGCAGUAAGACAGUACAGGGAACGCACUUUUCUCAUAUUUCAUGCACAUUCUUCAUGAAUUAUGAAAUAUCUUACAGUACAACACAAAGAAAACUUAAAGCAUCAUUGAAAUCCCCUAGUAAUCAGGGCUCUUCCUACAGAGUCUCAUGCAGCCCUUCAUAUUCAGAAAAAUAGGGAAGUUUACUUCACCUAAUGGGAAUUUUGAAAGGAAAUGAUGACUCUGAUUCCUUUGAAGAAAGAGCCCUAUUCAUUUUGGUUGAAUUCCAAGCAAAAUGGAUGUUCUUGUGUUAUAAGUGAUGUUACCUUUCCUAACACUAUAUUGAUGUUACAACUCUCUAGCAAUUGGGUACGUGUAACUAAAUAAAAGCCAACAAACUCAGAUCAGAAAAGCUGAGCCUGUCCCCACUGCCUCCACACGCUUCUGCUCUAGCCCAGCUGUAAAAUGUGUGUAAUCACAUUUGCUUGCCUGCUUCAGGUAUUUUUAAAUAAUCUAAUCGAAUAAAGCUUCUCAGAGAAUACUACGUAAAAUAAAGUUCCUCUGUAAUGCAAUGACUUCUGAUGUCAUCACUACUAUGGGAAUUAUUACAUUCCCUCUUUCCCUUUUCUAUUCUCUUCCUUUCUUUUCGGGUUCAGUAAAAAAAUUACCAGAACAUUCACAUGCUUCCUAUCUUCCCUUUUUGAAAGUUAAAUGUUAUAAGCCUCUGAAUUUACUUCUGUGACUGUGCAUUCCAGCAAAGUAAAAUAAAAUUGUGUGUGAUUCGUGGGGGUUUGCAACUUACUUUCACCGUACCACUUGCUAACUAGAGGAUCCGAUUAUGGGUCUUGCUGUCUUAGGACACCAGAUACCACUGAAGCCUUGCCCACUGCAGGUUACUGAAAUCUAGGUUUAUGUUUAGAGAGGACAAAAAUGUGUUCAUUGCUUUAUUUGACCUCAACUGGCC
rnacentral:lncRNA from 10 species